rnacentral:rRNA from 1 species
CAGCCGCCACGGUAAUACGUAGGGUGCGAGCGUUAAUCGGAAUUACUGGGCGUAAAGCGUGCGCAGGCGGUUUUGUAAGACAGGCGUGAAAUCCCCGGGCUCAACCUGGGAAUGGCGCUUGUGACUGCAAAGCUAGAGUGCGGCAGAGGGGGAUGGAAUUCCGCGUGUAGCAGUGAAAUGCGUAGAUAUGCGGAGGAACACCGAUGGCGAAGGCAAUCCCCUGGGCCUGCACUGACGCUCAUGCACGAAAGCGUGGGGAGCAAACAGGAUUAGAUACCCCGGUAGUCCCUGUCUCUUAUAC